UAGCCAAUGUAGUGCUUCAGGGAAAGUGU
rnacentral:piRNA from 1 species